UUCCGGUUGAUCCCGCCGGAGGCUACUGCCAUCAGAGUUCGAUUAAGCCAUGUUAGUCGAGGGUACCUCUUCUUCUUCGGAGGAUGAGGUAACCCGGCGGACGGCUCAGUAACACGUGGAUAACUUGCCCUUGGGUCUGGGAUAACCCCUGGGAAACUGGGGCUAAUACCGGAUAGAGCAUCAAUCGCUGGAAUGCCUGAUGCUCGAAAACUACGGUGCCCAAGGAUAGGUCUGCGGCUGAUUAGGUUGUUGUUGAUGUAAUGGACCAACAAGCCUACGAUCGGUACGGGUUGUGAGAGCAAUAGCCCGGAGAUGGGUUCUGAGAAAAGAACCCAGGUCCUACGGGACGCAUCAGGCGCGAAAACUUUACAAUGUGCGAAAGCACGAUAAGGGAACUCUGAGUGCCCCCUAAGGGGGCUGUUCUAGUGUCUAAAAAGCAAUAGAAGUAAGGGCUGGGCAAGACCGGUGCCAGCCGCCGCGGUAACACCGGCAGCCCAAGUGGUAGCCACGUUUAUUGGGUCUAAAGCGUUCGUAGCCGGCUUGGUAAGUUCCUUGGUAAAUUUAGCCGCUUAACGGUUAAGCUUUCAGGGAAUACUGCUUGGCUUGGGACUGGGAGAGGUCAGAGGUACUCCAGGGGUAGGGGUGAAAUCCAUUAAUCCUUGGGGGACCACCGGUAGCGAAGGCGUCUGACCAGACCAGCUCCGACGGUGAGGGACGAAGGCUGGGGGCGCGAACCGGAUUAGAUACCCGGGUAGUCCUAGCUGUAAACGAUGCGGGCUAGGUGUUGGCAUUACUGCGAGUGGUGCCAGUGCCGAAGGGAAGCCGUUAAGCUCGCCAUCUGGGGAGUACGGUCGCAAGGCUUAAACUUAAAGGAAUUGGCGGGGGAGCACCACAACGGGUGGAGCCUGCGGUUCAAUUGGAUUCAACGCCGGG
rnacentral:rRNA from 1 species